rnacentral:lncRNA from 1 species
GCAGCGAGCUGAGCAGCAAGCUGAGCGCGGCGUGGGGAGCACGAACGGCGCGGGGGACUCCGGCGGCGCCGGGUUCCCGCGAUUCCUGCUUGCGGCUCAGCGAAGCAGCCUCCGGCGGUGACGAACACAGCGACAGCGUCCGGGAGAUGCGGCGGGUCUCCCCGGGGACCGGAGUCCUGGCCUCUUUCUCAGACAAAGUCUUGCUGUGUAGUUCAGGCUGGCCUUGAACUCACUGUGUAGCCCAGGCUGGCCUCAAAUUCACAGUUAUCUUCCUGCUUCAGCCUUCCUGGUACUGGGAUUAUAGGUGUGCACCACCAAACCUGCCAUAUAUAAUCUCAUACUUUGAUGAAUAAUUCCUUCAGCUCAAUGGAUAAGAGAAACCAGGCAAAACUUCACCCUCAAAAGAUGAGGAAGCUGAAGCAGGAGGAGCAGUGAACAUCCCGGGAUACUUCUCUCCCCAGCAACCAUAGUGACAUUUUAAAAUCAUCACCCAGAGUUACGUGUGAAAAUCAGUAUACCUCACAAAGAUUUGGAGUCAACUGGUGUUUACUAAGGCCCAAGCCCUUAGUAUUAUGCCAAGCCCUCUGUCCAGGGAUUAUUUGCAAGAAAUGUAUUGUUUACUCCCCCACAACAAGCGCUUAUACAAUUGAUGUUUUCACUCUCACUUUAAUGAUGAAGACACAAAAGCUCAG